rnacentral:misc_RNA from 1 species
GCCACAGCCUAUGUUCUGGAAUAAAACCUAAUUUUCCAUCCAAGCAAACAUUGUAAUAGCAGAAAAACCCUCCAGAAUCCUAAGUCAUAGACAUAUAGCUUCUUUCUCUCUGAAUGAAAUGAGACUUAUAGGUCAGAUUGUAAUGUCCUGGCUAAACCUUUGAGAUAAAUUUCAUUAUGUGAAACUUAUGAAUUUAUCUCACACUUUAAAUACUAUUUCAAGAUGUUCCAUAUUGGAACAAGAGUUAUUGCUAUUGAUU